GACGAACGCUGGCGGCGUGCCUAAUACAUGCAAGUAGAACGCUGAAGGAGGAGCUUGCUUCUCUGGAUGAGUUGCGAACGGGUGAGUAACGCGUAGGUAACCUGCCUGGUAGCGGGGGAUAACUAUUGGAAACGAUAGCUAAUACCGCAUAAUAGUAGAUGUUGCAUGACAUUUGCUUAAAAGGUGCAAUUGCAUCACUACCAGAUGGACCUGCGUUGUAUUAGCUAGUUGGUGGGGUAACGGCUCACCAAGGCGACGAUACAUAGCCGACCUGAGAGGGUGAUCGGCCACACUGGAACUGAGACACGGCCCAGACUCCUACGGGAGGCAGCAGUAGGGAAUCUUCGGCAAUGGACGGAAGUCUGACCGAGCAACGCCGCGUGAGUGAAGAAGGUUUUCGGAUCGUAAAGCUCUGUUGUAAGAGAAGAACGAGUGUGAGAGUGGAAAGUUCACACUGUGACGGUAUCUUACCAGAAAGGGACGGCUAACUACGU
rnacentral:rRNA from 1 species